GGAAAGGCUAAGCAUGUGUUGACUUUCAAAGAAGGGAAAUAGUAAAGUGUGUCAUCUGCUCCUGGAGAAGGUCUCACAGAGUGGACAUUAUGAAUUGUGUGGCAGGAAUGAGGUCAUUAAAAAGAUGAAAGGGGCCGGGACCCAGGGCUUGGAGUCUAGGGGUAGGCAGCUUCCUUCCAGUGUCACAGAGAGAAGACACAGGAGAGAUGGGGAAGAGCCUCGGGGUGUUCAAUUUGCUGGUGACAGGGUCUGGCUCACGGUCAACACAUCUCGGUGGGUGUUGACCAAUUCUCCACUGGAUACCAAGGCCAAGCGCCCUCCCAGUGAUCCCCUGAGGG
rnacentral:lncRNA from 1 species